GAGGGUAUAGCUCAAGUGGUAGAGUGCAUGCUUAGCAUGCAUGAGGUCCUGGGUUCAAUCCCAAUUGACCUCC
rnacentral:tRNA from 1 species